rnacentral:lncRNA from 1 species
UGUAAGUACUUGGUUGAUACUUAUAACCGGCUGCUAGUCAUUUCUUCUAGUCCUGCCAUAUAAGACCAUUUAUUUUGUCAUUAUUUGUUCAAGCUCUUCCAUUGUUCGUUUACUGUCUUUGUCGUUAUUACUACACUUCCAUUCUUUCUUUUAUGAUGUGUUGCAUUUAUUUUAAGCAAAAUUAAUGAUUUGUUGUAUUACAUUUUCUCCUUAACCAACAAAGUAACAGGACAUAUCACAUGACACUUGCCCAUUUCUGAAUCUGCUGUUCUCAUUCAAUCUGACCAGUAACUUUUGUAAACAAAUGACAACCUCAGCUGCAAAUCUUAUGUUCAAUUUCAACUGCACAUGCAUAAAUUAGAAGAUUAUGUUUCAGUUUUACCAGAUUAUUUUGGUGUAUGGGAACAGGACAAAAACAGAGAUGUCAUUGUAGCAUUCCCAGAUGUAGACCCUUCCUUAUUUUCAUUACAGCAUGAACACUCUCGCCUCUAUGGCAAGCCAUACUCGAGAGCAAUUAUCAAGGAAGUAACUGAUUCAUUUGAUCAACCUCACUUAUGGUAUUCAACAUCUGAAGUAAUUCAUGCGUUGGAGCUAUUUAUAUCUAGUGGAGAUGAACUUUCAAAAAGUAGUACUUACAGGUGAGAGAAGUUGACUGCAUAAGAAUUCUCACUCCUCUUUAAGUACGUCAGCAAAAUGUAGGCUGGUGUUUUUUUAUAGUUUGUAAAGGCUCAAUAUCCAGAUUCAUGCUUUGUUAUUUACUCAGGUAUGACCUUGUUGAUGUCACCAGACAAGUCUUAGCAAAAUAUGCAAAUCAGCUGUUCUUUAAGGUCAUUGAGGCUUACCAAUCACAUGAUGUCCAUGGAGUGACCCUACUCAGCCAAAGAUUUCUGGACCUGGUGGAAGAUUUAGACGCAUUGUUGGCUUGCCACGAUGGAUUUCUUCUAGGCCCUUGGUUAGAAAGUGCAAAGCAACAAGCUCAAAAUGAAGAACAGAAGAGACAGGUUUGAUUGACUUAUAUUGGCAUAAAAUUGAAAGUCCAUCUGACCCUACAUAUACUUCUAUUGAUUUACAGUUCUUAACAUUUUCAGUUUGAGUGGAAUGCUAGAACACAAAUCACCAUGUGGUUUGACAACACAGAUGAGGAAGCCAGUUUGCUUCAUGACUAUGGUAUGAAUAACAGUAAACACCUUGCUAUAUUUCUUAGCUUUCACCAUGGCUCUUUUGCUAUAGCAAUAGAGACCGGUUUAGCUUUAGCUUUUUUAAAUGUGAGGAUUCCUCUUUCUCUAUGAAUAGCUUCUCAAGCUAACAAAGAAAAAUAAAAUAAAAGCAGUUUGAUGUUCCGACAUACUAUUGAUUGCAAUUUGCAUGCUGUUUUACUAUUUUCCACAGGAA